UCGGGAAUAUUGCGCAAUGGAGGAAACUCUGACGCAGUGACGCCGCGUAUGGGAAGAAGGUUUCGGAUUGUAAACCAUUUUAGACAAGGAAGAAAAAAGACAGUACUUGUAGAAUAAGCUCCGGCUAACUACGUGCCAGCAGCCGCGGUAAUACGUAGGGAGCAAGCGUUAUCCGGAUUUAUUGGGUGUAAAGGGUGCGUAGACGGGAAGGUAAGUUAGUUGUGAAAUCCCUCGGCUCAACUGAGGAACUGUGACUAAAACUGCUUUUCUUGAGUACUGGAGAGGAAAGUGGAAUUCCUAGUGUAGCGGUGAAAUGCGUAGAUAUUAGGAGGAACACCAGUGGCGAAGGCGACUUUCUGGACAGUAACUGACGUUGAGGCACGAAAGUGUGGGGAGCAAACAGGAUUAGAUACC
rnacentral:rRNA from 1 species